rnacentral:rRNA from 1 species
UACGAAGGGUGCAAGCGUUGUUCGGAAUUAUUGGGCGUAAAGGGUUCGUAGGCGGGAAUAUAAGUUGAGUGUGAAAUCCCUGGGCUUAACCUAGGAAGUGCAUUCAAAACUGUUUUUCUUGAGUGUUGGAGAGGAUGGUGGAAUUGCUGGUGUAGGAGUGACAUCCGUAGAGAUCAGCAGGAACGCCGGAGGCGAAAGCGGCCAUCUAGCCAAACACUGACGCUGAGGAACGAUAGCGUGGGUAGCAAACAGG